CUUCCUCUUCCUCUUGAAAGUAGUGUAUAUAUAGAGUUGCCUUGAUACACUGCCUCUUCCUACACCUCUUCAUCUUCCUCCUCCUCUUCGUCUUCCUCUUGAAAGUAGUGUAUAUAUAGAGGUGCCUUGAUACACUGCCUCUUCCUACACCUCUUCAUCUUCCUCCUCCUCUUGAAAGUAGUGUAUAUAUAGAGGUGCCUUGAUAUACUGCCUCUUCCCUACACCUCUUCAUCUUCCUCCUCCUCUUGAAAGUAGCGUAUAUAUAGAGGUGCCUUGAUACACUGCCUCUUCCUACACCUCUUCAUCUUCCUCUUCCUCUUGAAAGUAGUGUAUAUAUAGAGGUGCCUUGAUACACUGCCUCUUCCUACACCUCUUCAUCUUCCUCUUCCUCUUGAAAGUAGCGUAUAUAUAGAGGUGCCUUGAUACACUCCCUCUUCCCUACACCUCUUCAUCUUCCUCUUCCUCUUGAAAGUAGUGUAUAUAUAGAGGUGCCUUGAUACACUGCCUCUUCCUACACCUCUUCAUCUUCCUCCUCCUCUUGAAAGUAGUGUAUAUAUAGAGGUGCAUUGAUACACUGCCUCUUCCCUACACCUCUCCAUCUUCCUCCUCCUCUUCGUCCUCCUCUUAUGAGCGUAAUUAAUAAGGUGCCUUCGUGAUAAAUGCCUCUGCACCCAAUGCUUCUUCCUCUUCCUCCUCCGCUUCCUUCUUCUUCCUCUUCCUCUUUUUAUUCCUUCGCCUCCCUGACUGGCUUAUCCUGUGGUCUUAAAGGUAGCAUAUUGAGGUGCUUUGAGGCUACAACUUCAACAUUCCUCUUUUCUUUUUCCUUUUCCUACUUUUCCUCUUCCUCCUCCGCUUCUUUCUUCUUCCUCUUCCUCUUUUUAUUCCUUCGCCUCCCUGACUGGCUUAUCCUGUGGUCUAAAAGGUAGCAUAUUGAGGUGCUUUGAUGCUACAACUUCUACAUUCCUCUUUUCUUUUUCCUUUUCCUACUUUUCCUCUUCCUCCUCCGCUUCUUUCUUCUUCCUCUUCCUCUUUUUAUUCCUUCGCCUCCCUGACUGGCUUAUCCUGUGGUCUUAAAGGUAGCAUAUUUCUACAACUUCUACACUCUUCUCCUCUUUUCUUCUUCCUCUUCCUCUUAGAACUGCAAUAUCCAGUGGUAAAAAAGUAGCAUAUUGAGGUGAAUGAUAAUAUAUACACCUCUGCCUCUCUUCUUAAUCCUCUUCCUCCUUUUCCUCCUCCUCCUCAUCAUCAUCUUUUCCUCCAUUUACUUCUAUCCGUCAUUCUACUCCUUCCCGUUUUGCCAAUCACCAUUCCAAAACCAAUUACCUCAAAGGACCUUACUACUGAAAAAGAAACAAACAAAACAAGACGAACCUACCUCUAAUAACAACCUUGCAAAACAAUAAAAAAAAAAAAACCACCGAUAGCCAACCAAUGCGGAACCUUACCCCUCCUUCAUCACCUCCUUCAUCACCUCCUUCAUCACCCCCUUCAUCACCUCCUUCAUCACCUCCUUCAUCACCUGUCCGUCCUCCUUCCGUCCUCCUCCUUCUCCUUCCUCUUUUACCAAUCACCAUUCCAAAAACAAUUACCUCAAAGGACUUUACUACUGAAAAAAAAAAAAAAAGGAACACGA